AGUGAACGCUGGCGGUAGGCCUAACACAUGCAAGUCGAACGGCAGCACAGUAAGAGCUUGCUCUUACGGGUGGCGAGUGGCGGACGGGUGAGGAAUACAUCGGAAUCUACUUUUUCGUGGGGGAUAACGUAGGGAAACUUACGCUAAUACCGCAUACGACCUACGGGUGAAAGCAGGGGAUCUUCGGACCUUGCGCGAUUGAAUGAGCCGAUGUCGGAUUAGCUAGUUGGCGGGGUAAAGGCCCACCAAGGCGACGAUCCGUAGCUGGUGUGAGAGGAUGGUCAGCCACACUGGAACUGAGACACGGUCCAGACUCCUACGGGAGGCAGCAGUGGGGAAUAUUGGACAAUGGGCGCAAGCCUUAUCCAGCCAUACCGCGUGGGUGAAGAAGGCCUUCGGGUUGUAAAGCCCUUUUGUUGGGAAAGAAAAGCAGCAGGUUAAUACCCCGCUGUUCUGACGGUACCCAAAGAAUAAGCACCGGCUAACUUCGUG
rnacentral:rRNA from 1 species